rnacentral:rRNA from 1 species
UGAGUACGAGACACUACGGUGUCGAAGCAGUCUAUGUCAUACUUCCAAGAAAAGCUUGCACUGUCAUAAACAAAUAAUGCCUGUACCAUAACCGACACAGGUGGGUAGGUAGAGUAUACUAAGGGGCGCGAGAUAACUCUCUCUAAGGAACUCGGCAAAAUGACUCCGUAACUUCGGGAGAAGGAGUGCCUUAUAUUUUAUAAGGUUGCAAUAACAAGAUCCAAGCAACUGUUUACCAAAAACACAGGUCUCCGCUAAGUCGUAAGACGAUGUAUGGGGGCUGACGCCUGCCCAGUGCCAGAAGGUUAAAGAAGUUGGUUAGUAUUUGCGAAGCUGAUAACUGAAGCCCUGGUGAACGGCGGCCGUAACUAUAACGGUCCUAAGGUAGCGAAAUUCCUUGUCGGGUAAGUUCCGACCCGCACGAAAGGCGUAAUGAUUUGGAUACUGUCUCGGAGAGGGACUCGGUGAAAUAGACUUGUCUGUGAAGAUGCGGACUACUUGCACCAGGACAGAAAGACCCUAUGAAGCUUUACUGUAACUUGAAAUUGAAAUUGGACUUUACUUGCGCAGUAUAGGUGGGAGGCUUUGAGAAUAUUCUUGCGGGAAUAUUGGAACCAUUAGUGAGAUACCACUCUGGUAAUGUUAGAUUUCUAACUUUGUAUCAUUAUCUGGUCAAAGAACAGUUUCAGGCGGGCAGUUUGACUGGGGCGGUCGCCUCCUAAACGGUAACGGAGGCGCACAAAGGUUUCCUCUGAACGGGUAGAAAUCGUAUCUAGAGUGUAAAGGCAUAAGGAAGCUUGACUGUGAGACCUACAAGUCGAGCAGGGACGAAAGUCGGUCUUAGUGAUCUGACGGUGCUGAGUGGAAAGGCCGUCACUCAACGGAUAAAAGUUACUCUAGGAUAACAGGCUGAUCUCCCCCAAGAGUUCACAUCGACGGGGAGGUUUGGCACCUCGAUGUCGGCUCAUCGCAUCCUGGGGCGGUAGUACGUCCCAAGGGUUGGGCUGUUCGCCCAUGAAAGCGGUACGCGAGCUGGGUUCAGAACGUCGUGAGACAGUUCGGUCCAUAUCCGGUGUAAGCGUUAGAAUAUUGAGAGGAGCCUUCUUUAGUACGAGAGGACCGAGAAGGAUGCACCGCUGGUGUACCAGUUAUUGUGCCAACAGUAAACGCUGGGUAGCUAUGUGUGGAGUGGAUAACCGCUGAAAGCAUCUAAGUGGGAAGCCCACCUCAAGAUAAGUAUUCUUAUCACGUAAGUGAAUAAGGUCACGGUAAGACUAACCGUUUGAUAGGCAUUAAGUGUAAAUCUAGUAAUAGACGAGCUGAGAUGUACUAACAGACCGAAGAC